AUUGAACGCUGGCGGCAUGCCUUACACAUGCAAGUCGAACGGUAACAGGUCUUCGGAUGCUGACGAGUGGCGAACGGGUGAGUAAUACAUCGGAACGUGCCUAGUAGUGGGGGAUAACUACUCGAAAGAGUGGCUAAUACCGCAUGAGAUCUACGGAUGAAAGCAGGGGAUCGCAAGACCUUGUGCUACUAGAGCGGCCGAUGGCAGAUUAGGUAGGUGGUGGGAUAAAAGCUUACCAAGCCGACGAUCUGUAGCUGGUCUGAGAGGACGAUCAGCCAGACUGGGACUGAGCCACGGCCCAGACUCCUACGGGAGGCAGCAGUGGGGAAUUUGGGACAAUGGGCGAAAGCCUGAUCAAGCAAUGCCGCGUGCAGGAUGAAGGCCUUCGGGUUGUAAACUGCUUUUGUACGGAACGAAAAGCCCCGGGUUAAUACCCUGGGGUCAUGACGGUACCGUAAGAAUAAGCACCGGCUAACUACGUGCCAGCAGCCGCGGUAA
rnacentral:rRNA from 1 species